GCUCCAUCUCAUAGCAGGUGGCUACGAUAAAGGGGGUUAGAUUGACGGUGGAGAGAGAAAUAAAUGUAGAUGUAUUACAUUUAAUGACUUGGGGGAAAUGAAAAAUUAGACCAGUGGUCAAUUUCGAAAGGGUCCAAAAAGUCAGGUGUGAAGCAGCUGAGUGACCCCCAAGGUAAUAAAUGGGGAAAAAUGGGUAAUGGAAUGAAUUAACCUUCAACUACACACUGUGGAAUUCUAUGAAACACAAUUUAAGCUGUACAUAGUUUAAUGAUA
rnacentral:lncRNA from 1 species